AUUUCCCAUGGGCAUAAAGUUCAAGAUGCUUUACUGGUUCCUUUCGAGACUGAACUACAGACACAGGACUACCAUCCAAACAAUUUGAAAACGGGGGGCGUUGAGCAAGGCGCGCAAGGCAGAAGCAACCGAAUAAACAAAAACAACACUCGCAAGAGUUAGCCACAGCAAAGAGGGGCCAGGUUCCUCGGGAUCCGACCCAGCUGCUCUGAUUUCACACCGACCUCCAUCAACAGCUAAACUGCACAGGGAGGAGGAUCGAACGGAUCCCUCCCGCCCUCCGCCCAAGGAGCCGACCCGGGGUAGCAAGACCCCCGCCCCCGCCAGGCUAGGACGAGCAGCCGCCACCGCUGCCACCGCCACCGCCGCCGCCGCAGCGCCUCAGUGCGGCCCCGCCUCCGCCGCCCCACCACCUUCACCACCUCCACGCUCCGGUACCGCCCCUCCCGCCAAUCGGACAGCUCCGGCUACGCCCCCAGGGCGCUAGCCCGCAGCCAAUGAGCAACGAGAGCCCGACUGGGAGUCGCGCCGGCCAAUCGCAGGGGCCGAGGAAGCCUUGAAUCUCCGGGCAAGUUAAGUUUAUCUCCGAGGCUCGGAACUGAAGGGAGAUGGCGGUUAGCUAAGUAGUAGGGUAGCAGGGAACAGUUUGCUCUCCUCUGCCAAUAAGAGGACGAGGGUGUGUCAUAUGCAAAUAUACUGCCCUCCAAGCCCCACCCCCAAGAUAAGCUACGCCCCCUUCUCCAGGUCCCUGCAGAAGUGACCUUCCUGAGGCAGCUGUUCGGAUACAUGCAGAGCACAGCGCCCUGCUCAGAAAGGAAGGUUCAGAGAACAAAUUGCCGUUUAAAACUAUUGGGACAAACCUACCUCUUCUAAAGCUUAAAAUGGUCUCCAGCGUACCAGGAUUUGUGAAGGCCUGAAGUUCGUAGAAUGAAAUCUAUGUGGAGAUGAUUUAAAAGAACGGUUUCACUGAGACCAACACAUAUAAACCAAGUCUACACAAGAAACAAAGCUAAAAUCCUUUCGAAAUGAGUUCCUUUAAUUUCUUCAGUAACUAAAUCCUCCAGAAAGGAAAGCCGAGAGAAUCUAGUCCUAUACAAUAACACCCUCUAACAAAGAUCGCUAAAGGAAGAUUUUAGUAGAUGAAUAUCUUCAAUAAUACAUGGUCACAUACAUGUAUCUGACCAUAUGAUGGCUCUCUGCACCAAAUUCCUCCAAACUAUUAUAAUAUGUAUUGUCUGUAGUGCUAUUUAUUUGGAAGUUAAUCAUGUAUUACAUUGUGACAUUUCUUACAGUGAACCAUUAUGUAUGUGUUUAUGUUCUGCCCUCAACUACUCAAUGCCAGUACCUUAUUCUUAACACAGCAGCCACCCUUUCUGAUCUGUCCUCACACCCUCAUUCCCAUCAUAGUUAUUCUCCUCUCUCAUGGAAAUGUUCAGUUUCUGGACAUCUCCUUUCUCUUCCAUUCUUCACCUGACCUUCCUUCCU
rnacentral:antisense_RNA from 1 species